CAGCCGUAAACUAUGCGCGUUAGGUGUAUCGGUGACCACGAGUUACCGAGGUGCCGAAGGGAAACCGUGAAACGUGCCGCCUGGGAAGUACGGUCGCAAGGCUGAAACUUAAAGGAAUUGGCGGGGGAGCACCGCAACGGGAGGAGCGUGCGGUUUAAUUGGAUUCAACGCCGAAAAAACUCACCAGCAGCGACUGUUACAUGAAAGUCAGGUUGAUGACCUUACUAGAUUUUCAGAGAGGAGGUGCAUGGCGUCAGUGACU
rnacentral:rRNA from 1 species